rnacentral:rRNA from 1 species
AUUGAACGCUGGCGGCAUGCUUUACACAUGCAAGUCGAACGGUAACAGGCCGCAAGGUGCUGACGAGUGGCGAACGGGUGAGUAAUGCAUCGGAACGUGCCCAGUCGUGGGGGAUAACGCAGCGAAAGCUGCGCUAAUACCGCAUACGAUCUAUGGAUGAAAGCGGGGGACCGUAAGGCCUCGCGCGAUUGGAGCGGCCGAUGUCAGAUUAGGUAGUUGGUGGGGUAAAGGCUCACCAAGCCGACGAUCUGUAGCUGGUCUGAGAGGACGACCAGCCACACUGGGACUGAGACACGGCCCAGACUCCUACGGGAGGCAGCAGUGGGGAAUUUUGGACAAUGGGCGCAAGCCUGAUCCAGCAAUGCCGCGUGCAGGAAGAAGGCCUUCGGGUUGUAAACUGCUUUUGUACGGAACGAAACGGCUCUGGUUAAUACCUGGGGCUAAUGACGGUACCGUAAGAAUAAGCACCGGCUAACUACGUGCCAGCCGCCGCAGUAACAC